rnacentral:misc_RNA from 1 species
UUUUGUUUAGACUGGACAUGUGCAAUAUUUUAUUUAGGUUGCUUGCCUUCUUUAAGCACUUAGGAAUAUAGUUCAAAAUCAGAUAUUAUUAACAAGUUUUUGUUCUUGAUGAACCACUUUGAUAAGUGGGAUGUUAAGAAGUUAAAAAUAAAAUGAAAAAGAAAAUAAAAGGGAAAAGAUCAUGAAUUAUCUCUAGCAAGGAUUUCAAAACCUGCUCGAUGUUUAAACUGGGGAAGGCAAAGGAUCAGGGGUUAGAGGUUCAACCAGAGUUGAAUUGGGGUUAAACAAGAAUUAAAUUAAAUAAAUAUAAAA